rnacentral:rRNA from 1 species
AAAAUCGGGGUGCUUCGUGCCCCGAAUUGUAGUCUGGAGAAGCGUCCUCUGCAGCGGGUCGGCCCCAAGUUCCCUGGAAUGGGAUGCCCAAGAGGGUGACAGCCCCGUCGAGGCCGGUCCCUGCUGCUCCACGAGGCGCGAUCUGCGAGUCGGGCUGUUUGGGAAUGCAGCCCUAAAUGGGUGGUAAAUUCCAUCUAAGGCUAAAUAUUGGCAAGAGACCGAUAGCGAACAAGUACCGCGAGGGAAAGAUGAAAAGGACUUUGAAAAGAGAGUUAAACAGUGCUUGAAAUUGCUGGGAGGGAAGCGAAUGGAAGCUGCGGGUGUGCCCCGGUUGGAUGUGGAACGGCUUCGGCUGGUCUGCCGCUCAACGCGGGGCACUGGUCAGCGUGGGCUACCUCGGCGGGACAAGAGCGGGAUGUAGUUUCCCGCCUAUGCCGCCGAGGUGGCCGAGGCACGAAGCGCGCGGCCCCUCGGGGUCGUGGGACUCGUCCCAACUGCGCGCUCGGGACGCUGGCGUAUUGAGCUCUUCAUCCGACCCGUCUUGAAACACGGACCAAGGAGUCUAACAUGUAUGCGAGCAGGUGGGCGGCAAACCCAUUGAUGCGUAAGUAAACUGACA